ACAGGCCUGCAGAGCAGCUCCUGCCCAGCCGCCGCCGCCCAGGACCAGGCCCUCUAUGCUGCCGUGAAGGACACACAGCCUGAGGACGGGGUGCAGCUGGACCAUCCGAACAGGCAGGAUGCAGACCCCCAGGAGGGGACGUACGCCCAGGUGAACCACUCAAGAUCAAGACUAAGGCGGGGGGUGGCCACCUCUCCUUCCUCCCUGUCGGGGAGAUUGC